rnacentral:lncRNA from 1 species
GUCUCAUUGGCAAUCAUACCAAAUUUUCUUACUCUCUAUAUAUACAGUUGAAAACAUCUCAUGUCAUUGCUAUCUGGUUAUAAAUGGUCUCUUAAGCAAUCAUAAAACAUUUUGAUUAUUUUACUUUAAAGGGUAAGGUGCAACUUGGUAUAAAUUUCCGCUCUCAUGACGGGAUCAUUGUGGGGUUGACUAGCUGACACAUGGUUAAGUUGGUUGGCAACUUGAAGAUGUGCCAAGUUUGGGUAUGGCUUUGGUGGUUCUCAUUCAAUAUAUCACAACAGACACAUGUUACAAUUUAAAUGUUAAUUAUUUCAAAAUCUAAAAAUACAUUUGUUCAAUCAAUUAAAACAAUCGUAGUUAUUCACAAUAUAACCACGUUGUUAGUUUGCAAUUCCUACACCUAUAUCUAAAUAAGCAUCUUAAGGUGGAACCCAACACCUUGACCAAAAUUAAUCUGGGUCGUUUAAUUUUCAUAAAACUUUGACAAAAUAUUAACUGUGACCCUUAAAAAAAUACAAAAAUUUCAAAAAACUUGAACCAAUCACUUUCUCGGAAAAAAUUGGUUAUAUAUAUCAGUUUGACAAACACUAAUUUUGAUCAUUGAGAAGCUUUAUAUUUCCUUAACAAAACGUUUAGCUGAUUAAGCUGAGUUAUCUCCCUGUAGUGUUAGGUACCACCUUAAGAUUAGCAUGAUAUCUGUUUUAUGAAACGUUUUUUUUCUAUAUUGCUUUACAUGACAAUCAUAAAAUACAAAACUGCUCAAUCUAAAUCAUAACUAUAAUAAUGCGUUAGCUUCAAAUCUACUAUUAUUUUAUAAAAUGAACUCCCUUCACUUUUUGAUAGUUAUACUUGACAAUCAUGAAAUUGAUGACUGCCCAAUCGUAUUUAGUCUUUCAUUAAAAAAGAAGACUGUUUCUUUGUAAUGCAAAUAUUUACAACAAAAAAUCAUGUUCGGUUACUAAAAGCUAAUUUAAACAAUUCAUUACAUAAUACAUGUAGUAUUCUUUAAU